rnacentral:rRNA from 1 species
UACGUAGGGUGCAAGCGUUGUCCGGAAUUAUUGGGCGUAAAGAGCUCGUAGGCGGUCUGUCGCGUCGGAUGUGAAAACUCGGGGCUCAACCCCGAGCCUGCAUUCGAUACGGGCAGACUAGAGUUCGGUAGGGGAGACUGGAAUUCCUGGUGUAGCGGUGAAAUGCGCAGAUAUCAGGAGGAACACCAAUGGCGAAGGCAGCUCGCUGGGACGGUACUGACGCUGAGACGCGAAAGCGUGGGGAGCAAACAGG